UACGUAGGAGACGAGCGUUGUCCGGAAUUACUGGGCGUAAAGCGCGUGUAGGCGGAUGGGCAAGUCUGCUGUGAAAGCUCCUGGCUUAACCGGGAGUGGUCGGUGGAAACUGCCAAUCUGGAGGACGGUAGAGGUAGGUAGAAUUCCCGGUGUAGUGGUGAAAUGCGUAGAGAUCGGGAGGAAUACCUGUGGCGAAGGCGGCCUACUGGGCCGGACCUGACGCUGAGACGCGAAGGCGUGGGAGCGAACGGG
rnacentral:rRNA from 1 species